rnacentral:rRNA from 1 species
CCUACGGGAGGCAGCAGUGGGGAAUAUUGCACAAUGGGGGGAACCCUGAUGCAGCGACGCCGCGUGGGGGAUGAAGUAUUUCGGUAUGUAAAGCCCUAUCACCAGGGAAGAAGAAUGACGUUACCUAAUAAGAAAGCCCCGGCUAACUACGUGCAAGCAGCCGCGGUAAUACGUAGGGGGCAAGCGUUAUCCGGAUUGACGGGGGGUAAAGGGAGGGCAGGCGGCUGCUCAAGCCGGGUGUGAAAGCCCGCGGCUCAACCGCGGAACUGCAUUUGAAACUGGCGCGCUGGAGUGCCGGAGGGGUAAGCGGAAUUCCUAGUGUAGCGGUGAAAUGCGUAGAUAUUAGGAGGAACACCAGUGGCGAAGGCGACUCGCUGGACUGUAACUGACGCUGAGGCUCGAAAGCGUGGGGAGCAAACAGGAUUAGAUACCCUAGUAGUC